rfam:Microgenomates (Woesebacteria) bacterium GW2011_GWC2_31_9 TR21_C0021, whole genome shotgun sequence.
CAUAACCAAUUUUUUGGUUUGAAGAGAGUAGGUAACAUUCUGUUAGAAAGUUAUAAGUCCUAACACCCCGUUAGGAAUAAAUUUGGCUAUAUGCUGGAAUAACUUGAGUAUCCAAUAGUACUAGAAAUAGUAAUAAUCUAUUGGUGGAGUCAAUCAGCAGGGAAGAUCAGCCGAUGAGGCUGAAACCCUCACAGACUACACGCCAAAACCCUGAGCGACUAAAAAGAAGUCGAAGGGUAAGAUAUAGUCGGAUCCUUAAGGCGACUUAAGG